UAAUGCAACGGUAGAACUAUU
rnacentral:miRNA from 1 species